rnacentral:rRNA from 1 species
GACGAACGCUGGCGGCGUGCUUAACACAUGCAAGUCGAACGAAACGGCCCUGCUUUUGUGGGGUGCUCGGGUGGCGAACGGGUGAGUAACACGUGAGUACCCUGCACUUGCCUUUGGGAUAACUUCAGGACACUGGGGCUAAUACCGGAUAGGAGCUCCUGCUGCAUGGUGGGGGUUGGAAAGUUUCGGCGGUUGGGGAUGGACUCGCGGCUUAUCGGCUUGGUGGUUGGGUAGUGGCUUACCAAGGCUUUGACGGGUAGCAGGGCUGAGAGGGUGAGCGGCCACACUACGACGGGGAUACGGCACGGACUCCAACGCGACGCAAGGGAGCGGAAUAUAACACUAGGGGAGGAGCCAUGGCGCAACACAGCAGUGUGGGGUAUGAGAUGCAGCGGUUUGUAUUCCAAUUCCGCCUGUGACGAGAUGUGAAUGACGGUAACGGGUAAAUAAGCACCGGCUAACUACGUG